rnacentral:rRNA from 1 species
GGAGUUUGGACCGUGUCUCAGUUCCAAUGUGGCCGAUCACCCUCUCAGGUCGGCUACUGAUCGUCGCCUUGGUGGGCCGUUACCUCACCAACCAGCUAAUCAGACGCAGGCCCAUCCUCUGCCGAUAAAUCUUUGGCAGUCCUGAAAUGCUACAUGACUGCUUUAUCAGGUAUUAAUCACCGUUUCCAGUGGCUAUCCCUGUGCAAAGGGCAGGUUGCCUACGCGUUACUCACCCGUCUGCCGCUUUCCGCCUUUUAAUUCAUCCGAAGAAUCUUUAAAAGGUUUCUCGCUCGACUUGCAUGUAUUAGGCACGCCGCCAGCGUUCAUC